GCUCCUGCCCUGGCUCCUUACCUUGACUUCUAGACUCAGUUUCCCACUAGCUGUCUGAGUGGAGUGUGAUGAGCAGAGAACUAGGGAGGCCAAGUGACAUGCUAGACCCAGUGGGACCAAACACUGGGCUCCAGAGCCAGGCUGCUCAGUGUGGGGCUGUUGUAAAGGGGUUUGAGGGCUGCCUGUUAUUAGGAUUUUUGCAAGGACUCUGUGAUUGCAUGACUCCAUUCUUCUGAAAAAAAUCAGCCAGAAGCAGUGAAGCCCCAGAAAGAACAAAAGAAACCACCACCAAGUUGCCGAUGCUACCAUGAUGCCAACCUGGCUUUCCUGGGCAGAUGACUUCACCAUUGUGUCCUGGAGCCCCACCUCUCCAGAGCCCUGCCCCACUAGGGAAAGAGAGACAGGCUGGGAGUAUGGAUCGACCUGCCAGCGCCCAUGUUCAGCAGAGAAGCAAUUACAGAAGCCAGACCUUCCACCUUCUGCAACCCAUAAUGAUGCUGGAUCCAUACUCCCAGAAGGAUAAAGAAUAGAAAAGCUUUCAAGGGAUGGGGUGGGAUACGGAACUCUUGAAAUGGGUGAGAAUUGUGUGGAAAUGUACCCCUCUUAUCCUAUGGUCUUGUUAAUAUUUUUUAUUUAUUUUAUAAAUUUUAAAAAAGUUUUAAGACAGAGAGGAAAGAGAGAACACUGAAACUUCCAUCAAUGUGGUGGGAGUGGGGCUCGAACCUGUGUUGUGCACAUGGCAAAGCACUAUCAAAGUGAGCUCCUUUGGCAGCCUAGGGUUCAGAUUCUUGAACCAGUGUCCAGAAUCCCAUGGAAGUCUGUUUCAGGUACUGGAGCAAUUAGUGCCAGUGUGGCUUAUCCUAGCCCAGUGCAGAUAUUUCCAUGGCAGACACUGGUGGUAUGCCUGCCCUGGUUUGGGUGCUGGCCUGGGUAUCAUGGGCCACACUCCUGCUCUGAUGGCAUCUGCUUGGCCAGAUGGCAGGUGGCACAGGGCACCUGUGCUGGCCUCUAACCAUCAUUUUCAGCAGGUGUCAGUGAUAACGUUGUAUGGAAUGGACAAUGUUGUGGGGGUGUAAACAUGUCCUGUGAUCUAAUCUUGAAGAUAAGAAUGGAUCAAUGCAGCCAAUGAGGUGGAACAGCAUACAAGGCCUGGGUUGAGGGCCUGGGUUCGAUCCCCAGUUGUCACUGCUUGUGACAGAGCAGUGCUCUGGCCUCACUCUCUUAAAUCAAGCAAAUAAAUUUUUAAAAGAAUGGGUUUGUUGGUGUAUUGUACCAAAGUAAAAGACUCUGGGGUGGUGGGGGAAGGGUUCAGGUCCUGGAACAUGAUGGCAGAGGAAGACCUAGUGGGGGUUGUAUUGUUAUGUGGAAAACUGGAAAAUGUUACACAUGUACAUACUACUGUAUUUUACUGUCGACUGUAAACCACUAAUCCAAUAAAGAAGUUUAAAAAAUG